UGUGCCAUAGCUCAGUUGGUAGUAGCGCAUGACUGUUAAUCAUGAUGUCGUAGGUUCGAGUCCUACUGGCGGAG
rnacentral:tRNA from 1 species